GGCAGACAGAGCCAGAUAUGGUUUCUUCUUUUUCGUUUCCUCCGUCGAGCUAAACCUGAACAACGACAAUCCAUACUUAGAAGAAAAGUGAAACAGGUGUUUGAUCUUCUCUUUUGAAGAUAAGAGAUGAGAAGAAAGAUGGAGAUUUUGGUUAGCAAACCCAAAUUCUAGGAUUUCUUUUCCUGAAAUAUGGAAUACGGGAGGUCCUUAGGAGGCAUAAAUAGCCUCAUUUGAGAGGCUGGGACAAGUUAGAAGCUGACACAAAUAGCUACUUGGGAAAUGCCCCGUCUUAAUACCAAGACCAGCAACAUUAGAGUGACGUGACAGUGAACCAUCUUUCCUGGUUGAUGACAAGAAAUGGCUUAUCAACCAAAACCUUAUAACCUAUUGGAAAUGCGGGAGUGACACUGUGUUAUGCAUACAGACGAGGCAUGCCGGAGAAUCCCUACACUCAAUUUUGAUUUUUCCUCUCAAAACAGAAGUUGAAAAAGUACAUGGAGAUGAAUUGAUGUAUUACUUAUGUCGAUAUGAGGAUGCACCUUUCAACAUUCAAUGUCAGAAAAAUAUGGAAAUAAGAUUCAUCCAGACAGCUCCUCAUCUCCGAUACAAAAAGCGAUUGCAGGCCCGAUGUAGUGGUUUCGUCUUUUUGUCACCAUUUAUUUAUUUAGGGCUGUUCCGUGAUAUGCUGCGCAGGUGAUGUAAACGUCUGUAGCGUUUGCUAUGUCAGUUUGUUUGACAAAGCAUCUUAUAACAUACUCUUGAUUUUCAGGUUUAACUGAGAACUUUGGUUGCCUGGCAUCGAUUACCAUUGUGAUACUGGUAGGAAGUCCAUGACAGUUAUCCUCAAGUCCGAUUGUGGAAGGAAUUCAGUUUAAUGGUGAUUGCGAUUUUUGCGGUGGUUGUUCAAAAAACUGUGGACUUGGAGUAAGUUCAUAUUUUCCCUCCAAAUAUUUGCUUAUUCCAUAUUUGGGUAAUUUACAAUAAAAAGCUACUGCUGCUUAAAUUAGAUGUUUAAUGAAUGCGGACAUCCAUACAUUGUUUCGAAGAAUGCUAUCCAAUAUUGACCCCCCAAGUUUCAAUAUAUGAAGGUUUUUUAGCUAUAUAGGUUUCUCACUGGAUUGGUUUCUCCAAGAUGCCCAACACAAUAUCUACGACAAGUGAUCCAUCCUAUACAAAGUUGGUUCCAAAUUAUCGUAGGUUAGACUUAGUACGUAGUGGUUAAAAAUAUUGGGCUUCUCAGUGUUUCGAUGUGGGGUUUUUAUCCCAGGUGCCAAGUAUGUCCAUUAAUGUGUCAACUACAUGUCAAAUUAUGAUACUGAUUGUGUAUUUUUAUGUCAGUUUUUUUUCUUUUCGCAUAUUGGUUCUUUUUUGUGAUGCUGAAAAAGAAGUUUUGUGGAUUAAAUUAUGAUAGGUGGUUCAUUAUAUUUUUUUAUUUCUGAAUGCGUUUUUGAUGGUAAUUGGAUUCCUUUGUUGGUUUAUGUAUAGUGCUUGGUUAUUUGUCUGCUGGUGACUCAUAUGAAGGUAUUUUUAGUGGUUCUUUUUUUUCUGCAUCUUAAUUGAUUCUUAUUCAUUAAUACCGUGUAAGCAUCUCCGAAGCAAUGUGUGUUGUCCCCUGCCAGGAUCGUUUGGUUUCUGGCUGAGAUUACUGUGGAUACUAAAUUUGACCAUGUGCAUUCCAGAUAGGUUGACAGGUGUGUCAAUUCUGCUCUGUAUGUGGUUGUGAUGCAAAAUGUUGGCGACUCAGAUUUGCAUUAUUGUUGAUAGGUGGUUCAUUAUUUUUAUGAAUGCAUUUGAUGGUAAUGGUAUUCCUAGCCGAUUGCAUUAAUUGAGAUGCACAUAAACUGCUUUUCGACUAAACUUGAAAGAUACUCAAGAGUAGAUAGUAAUUUUUCUGAAUGCAUUUGAUGGUAAUGGCAUUCGUAGCUUAUUGUAUCCAUUGAGAUGCUCAGAAACUGCUUUUCGAUUAACUUGGAAGAUACUCAAGAGUAGAUAAUAAUUUUCUCAUAGAUGAUUUCACCAAGUGUGGUGAUCGUAAUACAAUUUAACUUGGGAGUAACCUUUAUGAACUGUCUUCACUUCAGUAUAGGAAAAGCUUCUUAUAGGCAAGGGCAGGAUGGUUCCUAUGAGUUGCCAGCACCUGAGAUUCACUGAAACCUUUUUAUAGUUUGAAGUGUGCUGCUUAACUGAAACUUUAUCGACCCUAUGGAUAAAAGUUUACAAUGUUAGUAAGAAAAUCACUUCACCACUAUCACCUAUAUUUCUUCAUUUUUUAGACUAUGUAGGGGUUCAGGUGAAUUCUGGAGGUAUUUUAACACCACCAGCCUGACUAUUUUAUGCCACCCAUACCAACACCACCACUACGCUUUCCGGACACUCUACGAGUGUUGUUCCUGAUCUGGGGGGUACUUUACAGGGUGAUUGUCUCUUACUCUCUCCCACUGUAUUUGUGCAGUAUCAUUUAUGGACAGGAAAUAGUAGCUGCAUAAAGCAACGAAGAAGAACAUAUCUAGCAUUGCCAUUCAGAACCUAAACAACUUCACUACAACAAUUAUGGAAGAGUGGUGGCUUAAUUUGUUGGUUUUUCUGUUUGAUCCAUAUGAUCUGUGGUUCUUCAUUUAACACACCGAGUUGAAAUUACAAGAAAAUAAAUAUUCAAACUCAACCCGAUUAUUUAGAUAUCGGUAAAAGAUCGAAAGCAACUAUUCAUAUGUCUCAGAUGCUAGAGUAAUGACCGGUUAAUCGCGCCACCUGCCGAGCAACAAGUAGUUGGAUGGCUACCGGUUAGAUUUAAUAGGACAAACAAUCUGCAACCAAAGAAGAACAUCGAAGGAGAGAACUCAUGAAUUAUUAUGUGAAAGUUAGUAUGGAUGGAGCUCCUUAUGUUAGAAAGAUUGAUCUUAAAGUUUACGAGAGAUAUUUAGAACUUCUCAGGGGAUGAUAUGUUCAAAUUCAAUAUGGGUCAUUAUUUUGAGAGCUAAGGCUACAGUAGUUCAGAAUUUUGUACCUACUUAACAAUAUCAUCCCUGGAUGCCGGUUGGAGAUUUCCAAAAAGGAGUGAGUUCUGCUCUUAAAAUGUGUUCGUCUCAUCAUGUGAAAUGUUGAAAAUCAUGAGAGGGUCAGAAGCUAGAAGUUCAGAAUAUUGUGCAUAUACCAGAAGUAAUAAUCAAGAAGCUAACGAAUCAUGCAACUGCUUGGGGUUCUCCUAGAAGAAACAAAGAAAGAGUUUUUUUUGUUUUUUUGACGCAACAUGGCAAGAGUUGAAUAUCUUUUUCCCAUAUUCUAAAGGUGGCUUCAAUAGCUGGCACACAAUAAUGCAUGAUUAUAAAUCUUUCUCAUCAGUUCCGAACGAAAAGAAAAACUUGGGUCUGGAGGACAAAGAUAAUUAUGUUUGUCACUACUACAUUGGCAGGAACUGAAAUAAAUUGGAUAGCGUUUCCUUUCCUUCACCAAUCAUCUUCGACGGAGGUCCAUCAAUGGGGUUUAUGCCCUCUACUUUGUCAAAGGUGAAAGGUUGUCCAUGAUUCGUUUCUAAAGAUACUGGGUACCUGCUAUAAGUAAGUUGAAAGUAAAUUCUCUGCUUGCUAGCCACUUGCAUUAGGAAAUGAUACUUGUCGUCUUAGCUCAAAUGACAGAGCACAUGGUUCUCAACCAUGUUGUUGUGGGUUCGACUCCUACAAAUGGCACCGUUAUAUGAGUUUGAUAAAAGCUUACAUACUUUUUAUGCCGAUUUUAGCUUUACAAUAUUUUUAGAGAAGGAUAAUUGGCAUCAUUGUUCAACAUCUAUCUUGAGUCUCCUUUUUAUGAAUUCUAAAGAAACCACGAAUUUGCAAAUAACAGGUAAGCAGCGUCGUUUCUUAUUUCUUAGCAUUUUUUCUUCUCCUCUAUAUUCAUUAUAGGUCACCAUAGCAACCAUCUCUUUCUUGAUUGUAAAAUAGAAAGCUUUGAACUGAAGUCUUAGUAAUUUACUUUUUCGAGGGGGAUAUAAUUUGUGGAUAUCGAGAGGGUGAUCUAAGGGAGCAAAUGCAAAUUUUCUUUUUCGCUUUUUUGAAAUAAUUUUUGCAGUAAAAUUUUAUGUAACCUUCACAACAAGGAUAUAUACAGGUUUACUUCACAUACAAAUUGGCAUUGUUUUGUUCAUUUUGCAUUGUUGUAGAGGUAGUAGUUGAGUAUAAAGAAGGUGCCCUGACUUGGUCUCCUCAACUUAAUUGUGUAGUUCCCUGACUUUGACUUUAACAGAUUGCAAGACGAUAAUAGUUGAGAAUAAAGAAGGUGCCAUAAAGAGGUAUUUGGUCUCCUCAACUUCAUUGUGGUGGCAAACUCUUUAUGGGAGAAUGAGAGAAACAUAGGAUUUUUUUUGUUGACAUUUCCUUUGCUUUUGUGAAUUAUUGAAACAUGAAUUGAAGGGAAUGGUUUGAUCACAUAGGUGUUCGCUAAAUCUCGAACUUUGUGAUUUCUCUGUUGUUGAGAACUCCUGAUGCUCAUAUGUAGAAGUUUUAAUCUAAGAUUACAACUUUGUUGCUCAAAAAA